rnacentral:rRNA from 1 species
UACGAAGGGGGCUAGCGUUGCUCGGAAUCACUGGGCGUAAAGGGUGCGUAGGCGGGUCUUUAAGUCAGGGGUGAAAUCCCGAGGCUCAACCUCGGAACUGCCUUUGAUACUGGAGAUCUUGAGUUCGGAAGAGGUUGGUGGAACAGCUAGUGUAGAGGUGAAAUUCGUAGAUAUUAGCUAGAACACCAGUGGCGAAGGCGGCCAACUGGUCCGAUACUGACGCUGAGGUGCGAAAGCGUGGGGAGCAAACAGG